AGGGGAGGUUGUGUUUUGCAUGUACAGUCAACUUAAUUAAUCUUGACAUCAUAUAGAAUAGAGCAAGAGUCUCUUGAAAGAACAUUUUCUGAGGCAUUUCUUAUGUCCUUGAACACUGGAGUCAGAAGGAAAUGCAAUCAGAACCACUCCUAUUCACUAAAAAGCAAAUGCUCCUUCUAAUAAAGGAACAGUGAAGUAAAUCUUCAGGGUUAAAGACACCAGUGAAUACAAAGAUGGAAUUCUGGAAAUUUAAGAUAGUUUCUUCUCAUUUCAGAAAAUCCAGAAGUUCACCGACUCCAGUGCCAAGAAGUGCUGCCUCAGUUUUGGGACUGUCUUCUGUGGGACCCUUCUUGGUUCUAUAAGUUUCACGUAAAUACUCAUCUAAGAAUGCAGAACAACAAGAAAGGGUAUGAUGGAAACAAGCAGAAAAAUAUAUAUAUAUAUGUAUAUUUACAAAACAUACCUUAGAAGUUGUUUU